rnacentral:rRNA from 1 species
AACGAACGCUGGCGGCAGGCUUAACACAUGCAAGUCGAGCGCCCCGCAAGGGGAGCGGCAGACGGGUGAGUAACGCGUGGGAAUCUACCCAUCUCUACGGAAUAACGCAUGGAAACGUGUGCCAAUACCGUAUACGUCCUUCGGGAGAAAGAUUUAUCGGAGAUGGAUGAGCCCGCGUUGGAUUAGCUAGUUGGUGGGGUAAAGGCCUACCAAGGCGACGAUCCAUAGCUGGUCUGAGAGGAUGAUCAGCCACACUGGGACUGAGACACGGCCCAGACUCCUACGGGAGGCAGCAGUGGGGAAUAUUGGACAAUGGGCGCAAGCCUGAUCCAGCCAUGCCGCGUGAGUGAUGAAGGCCCUAGGAUUGUAAAGCUCUUUCACCGGUGAAGAUAAUGACGGUAACCGGAGAAGAAGCCCCGGCUAACUUCGUGCCAGCAGCCGCCGUAGCAC